AGUGAACGCUGGCGGUAGGCCUAACACAUGCAAGUCGAACGGCAGCACAGUAAGAGCUUGCUCUUACGGGUGGCGAGUGGCGGACGGGUGAGGAAUACAUCGGAAUCUACUUUUUCGUGGGGGAUAACGUAGGGAAACUUACGCUAAUACCGCAUACGACCUACGGGUGAAAGCAGGGGAUCUUCGGACCUUGCGCGAUUGAAUGAGCCGAUGUCGGAUUAGCUAGUUGGCGGGGUAAAGGCCCACCAAGGCGACGAUCCGUAGCUGGUCUGAGGGGAUGAUCAGCCACACUGGAACUGAGACACGGUCCAGACUCCUACGGGAGGCAGCAGUGGGGAAUAUUGGACAAUGGGCGCAAGCCUGAUCCAGCCAUACCGCGUGGGUGAAGAAGGCCUUCGGGUUGUAAAGCCCUUUUGUUGGGAAAGAAAAGCAGCAGGUUAAUACCCCGCUGUUCUGACGGUACCCAAAGAAUAAGCACCGGCUAACCUCGUG
rnacentral:rRNA from 1 species